AUUAAUUAUCUAUGUGGCACUCGAUAGUUUUAAUUCAAAAGUAAAUUAGAAAUAAUAUUUUUCAUUGGCCGAAAUCAAUAUUAAUCCUAUGUGGCGCUCUAAUAAUUCAGCAAAUAUACACUCAAAUGAGAAUGAGGCUAAUUAAUCCAACGGCACAAAAUUAAUCUGUUUAAUGAACUAAAAAAAACUCCGGAAAUCAAAUCCCACCCUCCACUCCUUUUCUCUCCUCCUCCAUCUCUCCAUCCUUUCUCUCUCCUCUUUCUUGGUAGCUUCUCCUGGUGGUUCGACUAGUGGUUCUGGUGAUUUAAUUGAUUUUUUUUAAUCCUACUACCGCCAUUUUUACGGAUGUAGUCUCUGCAAAUCUUCCAUUCACCUUCCUUCUCUCUUCUCAAUUUUUUGAAUUCAAAAUCUUCAAAUGAUGAUAAGUCUCAAUUGUUUACUCCGACAAACCCAAUGCCGACACCAGCCAUACAUGGUGCUCGACCCUAAUCCAACCCCACCACCACUACAACAUGGAUCUAAUUGGGGUUGAAUGCUUUAGGAGGAGAGAGAAAAUCAAGCUCAAUUAUGGAAGUUCGAAUGUUGGCUGGUUGGGCGGAAUAGCGGUGGGGUUGCGGUGGCUGGUUGGGGAGAGGAGAGGAGAGAGAAAACGAGGAAGAAGAGGGUUUUAGCUUCCAUUGUUGAGUGCUUCAGGAUGAGAGAGAAAACGAUUCUGGAUAUUUGGUAGUUGGAAGGAAGAAGAUCCUGGAUAUUUGGUAGUUGGAAGGAAGAAGAUCGGGGAAGCAGUAAAAUAAAAGCGUUUAAAAAAAAUAAAAGAAAUUAAAUUCAAUCUCGACCCUUGAUCUGGAUGGUGUAGAUUUCUUCUCAUUCUUCUCAUUAUAAAGUGUUUUCUCAUUUGAAUGUAAAUCUAUAUAUAUAUUAAAUUAUAUUAGAUUUAUCUGAA